rnacentral:rRNA from 1 species
CCAGACUCCUACGGGAGGCAGCAGUGGGGAAUAUUGGACAAUGGGGGGAACCCUGAUCCAGCGACGCCGCGUGAGUGAAGAAGUAUUUCGGUAUGUAAAGCUCUAUCAGCAGGGAAGAAAGAAAUGACGGUACCUGACUAAGAAGCCCCGGCUAACUACGUGCCAGCAGCCGCGGUAAUACGUAGGGGGCAAGCGUUAUCCGGAUUUACUGGGUGUAAAGGGAGCGUAGACGGCGAUGCAAGUCUGAAGUGAAAGGCGGGGGCCCAACCCCCGGACUGCUUUGGAAACUGUAUGGCUGGAGUGCAGGAGAGGUAAGUGGAAUUCCUAGUGUAGCGGUGAAAUGCGUAGAUAUUAGGAGGAACACCAGUGGCGAAGGCGGCUUACUGGACUGUAACUGACGUUGAGGCUCGAAAGCGUGGGGAGCAAACAGGAUUAGAUACCCGCGUA